rnacentral:rRNA from 1 species
UACGGAGGGUGCAAGCGUUAUCCGGAUUCACUGGGUUUAAAGGGUGCGUAGGUGGGAAUGUAAGUCAGUGGUGAAAUCUCCGUGCUUAACAUGGAAACUGCCAUUGAUACUAUGUUUCUUGAAUUUUCUGGAGGUCAGCGGAAUAUGUCAUGUAGCGGUGAAAUGCUUAGAUAUAACAUAGAACACCAAUUGCGAAGGCAGCUGACUACAGGGAUAUUGACACUGAGGCACGAAAGCGUGGGGAUCAAACAGG